rnacentral:rRNA from 1 species
GACGAACGCUGGCGGCGUGCCUAAUACAUGCAAGUCGAACGAACCGCGACUGAGUGCUUGCACUUGGUCAAGGUGAGUGGCGAACGGGUGAGUAACACGUGGGUAACCUACCUCAUAGUGGGGGAUAACAGUCGGAAACGACUGCUAAUACCGCAUAGGACAUAGGAUCACAUGAUCCAGUGAGGAAAGGUGGCGCAAGCUAUCGCUAAGAGAUGGACCCGCGGUGCAUUAGCUAGUUGGUAGGGUAAAGGCCUACCAAGGCGAUGAUGCAUAGCCGACCUGAGAGGGUGAACGGCCACAUUGGGACUGAGACACGGCCCAAACUCCUACGGGAGGCAGCAGUAGGGAAUCUUCCGCAAUGGACGCAAGUCUGACGGAGCAACGCCGCGUGAGUGAAGAAGGUCUUCGGAUCGUAAAGCUCUGUUGUUAGAGAAGAACAGCGAAUAGAGUAACUGCUAUGCGUGUGACGGUAUCUAACCAGAAAGCCACGGCUAACUACGUG